CGAAGCUGAGCAAUUUUCUCUCAAUGACACCAAUGAUCUUGUAAAUCUUGGACCGUGCUUGCAACGAUCUUGCGAACGAUCCAUGUUACUCGGCUAGGCGUACAAUCCCUUGUCGCAUUUACAAGGCUUCACCAUCGCCAACGGCUUUCCCAAGGUCAGUCAGCUGCUCUUGGCCGCCUGGAACCUCGAUUCAACUUACCGUUUUAAAAUUUUGCCCGCUGGGUCUCUCCACACCGGAGAAUCUGUCGAUAAAUGCGAAUCCAAUGGAAACGCCAGUGCCAGCGGCAGCAGCAAAUCGAACCACAAGGAAACCGCAGAUCAUUUGGACAUGCUGCCGCCUCCUUCGCCGGCCUCGAGCACGUGCAGCGAUACCGGAAGCAUCACCACGAGUCACAAACGCGAGAAACGUAUGACCCCGAGGAGCGACGGUGAGACGGGUUCGAUGA
rnacentral:lncRNA from 1 species